rnacentral:rRNA from 1 species
GGGGACCCGCACAAGUAGCGGAGCAUGUGGGUUAAUUCGAAGCAACGCGAAGACCCUUACCUAAGCUUGACAUCCCAAUGACAUCUCCUUAAUCGGGGAGUUCCUUUCGGGGACAUUGGUGACAGGUGGGGCAUGGUUGUCGUCAGCUCGUGUCGUGAGAUGUUGGGUUAAGUCCCGCAACGAGCGCAACCCUUGUCUUUAGUUGCCAUCAUUAAGUUGGGCACUCUAGGGAGACUGCCAGGGAUAACCUGGAGGAAGGUGGGGAUGACGUCAAAUCAUCAUGCCCCUUAUGCUUAGGGCUACACACGUGCUACAAUGGGUAGUACAGAGGGUUGCCAAGCCGUAAGGUGGAGCUAA